rnacentral:rRNA from 1 species
AUGAAAAAAAAAUUGAAAAAAAAUGUUGCAAUUGAGGUGCACCAUGUACUGGAUACUUACUGUCAAGCGACUGGGCAGCGUAUCAACUACUCCAAAUUAUCAAUCUAUUUUAGCAAAGGGGUGCCUGAGUCGGUCAGACAAGAGAUCAAAGCUACACUUAACGUUCCUAAUGAAACACUUAAUGAGAAGUACUUGGGGAUGCCGUCAGAUAUAGGAAGCUCAAAGAACGGGGCCUUCAAAUAUCUUAAGGACCGGCUCUGGAGCAAGGUUCAAGGGUGGAUUGAGCGAACUAUGUCUUCGGCGGGUAAGGAAGUUCUUGUCAAAGCUGUUGCGCAGGCUGUCCCAGUGUUCUCCAUGUCUUGUUUCAAGCUACCUAGAGGCCUAUGUGAACACUUGAACAUGCUCAUACGGAAGUUUUGGUGGGGUGCAAAAGAUGGAAAACGUAAACCACACUGGGUCUCGUGGAAACGAUGA